GAGUGCUCUCUGAGACCCAGUCGGCGCGCCCUCUCUCUCUCUCAAUUUCAUUGCAUCGUCUUUCUCUCCUCGCGGCGCUCUUCCUCAAGGAGAUAUGGCUGCCAAAUGCAUUGGAGCUGUGGUGGCAACCUUUGCAAUCGUAUAUGUAGCCGAUGCAGCUAUUGCUGAGAAGAAGAUAUUUGGAGGUAGAUAAAACAAAUUUUUGCAGAGAACCUGCUUUCGUCUUAUUGAAAUCAGAUUAGCUGUUGUGUUUUCUAAAGCCAGGCACCACUCCAAGGACCGUUGCUGACAAUGAGUGGUGGGAAGCAACUGAUCAAAAGUUCCAGGCCUGGCCUCGAUCUGCUGGACCACCAGUUGUCAUGAACCCGAUCAGCCGUCAGAAUUUCAUGGUCAAGUCAUAUGAAUCUUAAGGUAUGACUUGGAGCUCUUUUGCUGGAAAGGGUGCCCUCAUGCAUUUAAUUAUCUCUGUUGUGUCAGGAGGAAUGGUUUCCUUGGUGAUGAACUUCCUUAUAGUUCAGGAUAUGUUGAUUGAGUUGUCCAAUUGAAUAAAAUUUCAUGAAAGUUGUUUGGAUGUGAUGAUUCAACAAAAGAUAAAAUGUGACCUUCUGAAGGAUUGAUGCAUGUUCAUCCAUGCACAUCUCUUUAUAAAGCCUGGAUGGAACAGCAUUGACCGAAUGCAGUCAGGUCUAGGGAAGCUUGGCGAGAUCUUUUGCUCGAGUUGGCUUUGGUGUCAGCCUUGCUCUAUUUGACCUGCUUCAAAUUUUCUAACCGUUCGAUAUUCUUUUGUUAUGCUGUGGGCUGUGGUUCUCAUUGGAUAUCUUUGUUUCUAUAACAUCAACUGCAAGAUAAAGCAUCAAUGUAUGUGAUUUCUUAUUC